GUGCUUGUUUGGCAACACAUAUACUAAAACUGGAACAAUAAAGAAAAGAUUAGCAUGGCCUCUGAGUAAGUAUGACAUGCAAAAUUUGUGAAGCAUUACAUAUUUUU
rnacentral:snRNA from 1 species